UCCAAGAUGUCACCCGAAUCUGAAAACACUAUUGUGAUACAGUAAUGCUGCCAUCUGCAUUUUUGGGGUCUAUUUUUCGACAAGGAAUCUGAGUCUUCUGGCAAGCAGGUUGCACAUCAGAGUACACAAGAGCCAUGUCUUGGUGACUUCCGCCUGAGAGCACAUGCACAGCUUCCUGUUUUGGUCUGAUAGCUUCCCCUGGGCUUUCAUAGAUGCAAAAUUACUCACACAGAGAUGGGUUGCCCAUGCAAAAAAUUUCAAGAGUCCUGUGACUGGUCUUCUCACAUUCUGUUCUGCACCAAACCAGUCCCCGUGUGCUUUUUAAAGGUAAACUUGAUCUUGUCACACUGAUCCUCUAUUGAAAACCUUCUCAUUGCUCUAUUGUUCAAAGCUUCCUUCAUGGUGUUGUCUGGGAGAAGGGAGCAACUUCAGUAGAAACUUCCCCUAGAACCACCUCUCUAGAAAGAAAAAAAAAAAGCCUUCAUCUGAAAAAAAAAGAAAAGCAGCAAAAAGUGAGAACUUAAUGCUCUGGUGAAAACUCAUUGUCACUGAGGGAAGAGAAAAACCCUUCUGCCUCUGGGGGUGGGGGGUUGGGGCAUGCAUGCCAGGCUCAGAAUGCAGCUGGGGGAGGGGCAGGAGGCUGUGUGCACUGCCCUCACCCCACCACCCAGGGACACUGGGCCUGCCUGGAACUGAGGAUUCAUCAGAAACCGCCCUGUGUCUUCUACCCUUCAGCCCCAGGCUAACAAACGUCAAACACUGAUAACCUGUAGGAAACCUGGGACAGCUGCAAGAGUCAGUCUCCCUGGAGGGCAGCACAAAGCAGACUCAGCGGCAGGAGAGAAGUGGACACUGAGGAAAUAACCUCUGACAAACUAGCCCCGGCCUGAAGAGAAGGUAUGACUAGCAGAAUUUGAAGUCUGAGGUACGAUGAGUAUAACCAGAGCAAUAACAAAUCUUGUACUCAGCCAACUUGUGAAUAGGGCAUACAAAUCUCUGACCCCAAAGGCCUUGCAGAAGGAAAGAUGUGCCCAUCUCCAAGCACAAAACAUACCUACCUCAGUAUUUACCAGAUAAGCAACUUUCAACGAAAAUCAUGAGACAUACGCAAAGGCGAGUCAUUAUCAAGGCAAUCAUCAGAACCAGACUCAGAUAUGACACAGACGGUGUGUUGUUGGCAAAAAGACAAACACGUAGACCAGGUGGCUAAGUAUGAAGUUUAGAGAUAGAAUCACAUAGAUAUAGUCAACCAACUUUUGGGCAAAUACUCAAAGGCAAUUUAAUGGAGAGAAGGUGAUCUUUUCAACAAAUGGGGAGGAAAAAAGCUUGAUGUCCACAGGCAAAAAAAGGCGGCUUGACAAAUACCUCAAACAUUGCAAAAAUAACACAAAAUGGAUCAUUGACUUAAAUGUAAGAUACAGCACCAUAAAGCUUCUGAAAGAAAAUUAAUGUGAUCUGGGAUUUGCAAGUUUCUUAAUUAUGAAAUCAGAAAUACAGACUAAAAAGGGGGUAAAAAAGAGAUAAACUAAAUUUAUCCAAACAAUAAGUUCUUCCUUUGUGAAGGACAUUGUUAAGAGAAUGAAAAAAAGGUCAUAGACUGAAGUAAAAUAUUUGCAGACUCCAUCUCUCAUAAGACACUAGUAUCCAGAAGGAUAAAUAAAUCUAAACACUCCACAAUACAAAACAACCAGCCAUAUUUUAAAAGGGCAAAGAUCCCAACUGACCCUUUACCAAAGAGGAUACAUAGGGGGUAAACAGGCAUAUUAUAAUAUGUUCAUGGUCAGUUUUUAGAGAAAUGCAAAUAAGGAUCACAAUGAGACAUCAUAAUAUUAGAAUAACUGGAAAAAAAAAGCCAAAAAAACUGGUGAUUCCAAAGGCUGAUGCAGUGUGACUGGAACUCUAGUCCCAGUGGAAUACGAAAUGGUACAGUUACUUUGGAAGACAGUUUAGCAGUUUCUUAUAAUGUUAAGUAUGCAUUUGGCAUAGAAGUUACCAAUCCUACUUUUAGGUAUUUAACCAAGUGAACUGAAAACUUAUAAUCACCCUGAAUCAUGUAUGUGAAUAUUUAUAGCAGCUUUAUACAUAAUCGCUAAAAACUGGAAACAGCCCAGAUGUCCUUCAACAGAAGAAUAGGUAAAUAAGCUGUACUGUAUCCAUAAAAUGGAAUACUACUCAGCACUGGAAAGAAAUAAACUACUGAUUUAUGCAACAACACGAAUGAAUUUUAAACACAGGUUCUUAAAUUAAAGAAGCCAGAUAUAGAAGUCCAUAUGUUGUAUGAUUCCAUUUAUAUGACAUUCUGGAAAAGGCAAAAUUAUAGAAAUGGAAAGCAGAUCAGAAAUGGGGGAGUAGGAGGGGUUGACUAUAAAGGAGAACAGGAGGGAGUUUGGGGGUGAUGUUCUGAAUCGUAUUGUGAUGGUAGAUGUGUGUCUAUGCAUUCGUCAAAAUUCAUAGAACUGGACAUCACAAAAGAUGAAUUUUACUUACACAAAUUAAAAAAAAAAAUAGCCAGGAUGACAGCAAGAGCCAAGAAGGACUACAGACUGUGACAAACAUGUGCAUGACAUAAUUACUAAAAGUGGUGAGGAAGAAAGGAGCUGACCUAUGUAACUUUGGAAAACCAUAUUUAAAGUAGAUGUUUUCAAGGGACACCUGGGUGGCUCAAUGGUUGAGUGUCUUUCUUCAGCUCAGGUCAUGAACCCAGAGUCCUGAGAUCAAGUUCCACAUCGGGCUCCCUGCAGGCUCCCUGUAGGGAGCCUGCUUCUCCCCCUGCCUAUGUCUCUGCCUCUUUCUGUCUCUCAUGAAUAAAUAAAUAAAAUCUUUAAAAACAAUUUAAAAAAUGAAACUAGAUGCUUUCAGCCUAAAGACCAAAACUGUUUACUCAAACUAUUUACUCCAGUUGAUAAAUUGGUUUUUCACAGGGGUAUGGGUUAGCAAUCUACUUUACAUGUAUAUAAGAAUUGAGCAAAUAAAUAUAUAUAUUG
rnacentral:lncRNA from 1 species